rnacentral:rRNA from 1 species
GACAGAGGGGCCAAGCGUUAGGCGGAAUCACUGGGCUUAAAGCGUGUGUAGGCGGCUUUGUAAGUUAGAGGUGAAAGCCCGGGGCUCAACCCCGGAAUUGCCUUUAAGACUGCAUCGCUUGAAUCCAGGAGAGGUGAGUGGAAUUCCGAGUGUAGAGGUGAAAUUCGUAGAUAUUCGGAAGAACACCAGUGGCGAAGGCGGCUCACUGGACUGGUAUUGACGCUGAGGUGCGAAAGCGUGGGGAGCAAACAGG